rnacentral:lncRNA from 1 species
UAGGUGAUUCUAAUGCCUUUUCUUGGGACUCGCUAGACGACCCAUUCUGCUCGCCUAGCGAGCAUGAUAGCUCAUGAACAAACUUUUGCUCCUUCAAGAUUAACGUUUUGACUGAUGAAUAGGCCCCAUUUGAACAUGUUGGAAGUAUCUCAAGCCAUUCCCUUGUGUUGACUGAUCACCCAGAUAGGACCCAUAAAGUGUCUUGGAUGAUAUUCAAGCUUCUUGGAUCUAAUUCCGAUUGACAUGAUGAA